AUACGUAGGUGCCAAGCGUUAUCCGGAUUUACUGGGCGUAAAGGGCGUGUAGGCGGUCUUGCAAGUCAGAAGUGAAAUUCCUGAGCUCAACUCGGGCGCUGCUUCUGAAACUGCAGGACUUGAGGGCUGGAGGGGAUAGCGGAAUUCCUAGUGGAGCGGUAAAAUGCGCAGAUAUUAGGAAGAACACCGGUGGCGGAGGCGGCUAUCUGGUCAGUAACUGACGCUGAGGCGCGAAAGCGUGGGGAGCAAACAGGAUUAAAUUCCCUGGUAGUCCACGCCGUAAACGAUGAAUACUAGGUGUAGGGGGUAUCGACUCCCUCUGUGCCGCAGUUAACACAAUAAGGAUUCCGCCUGGGGAGUACGGCCGCAAGGUUGAAACUCAAAUGAAUUGACGGGG
rnacentral:rRNA from 1 species